AUUGAACGCUGGCGGCAGGCCUAACACAUGCAAGUCGAACGCGUGGCGGGGGGGUGAGUAAUGUCUGGGAAACUGCCUGAUGGAGGGGGACAACUACUGGAAACGGUACUUAAUACCGCAUACCAUCAGAUGUGACCAGAUGGGAUGAGUUUGUUGGUGGGGUAACGGCUCACCAGGGCGACGGUCCCUAGCUGGUCUGAGAGGGUGACCAGCCACACGGGAACUGUGACACGGUCCAGACUCCUACGGGAGGCAGCAGUAGGGAAUAUUGCACAAUGAGAGAAAGCCUGACGCAGCGAUGCCGCGUGUAUGAAGAAGGUCUUCGGGUUGUAAAGUCCUGUCAGCGGGGAGGCGUUACCCACAGAAAAAGCACCGGCUAACUCCGUGCCAGCAGCCGCGGUAAUAC
rnacentral:rRNA from 1 species